GAAGAACCAAUCUAAGGGGAGUCAAAGAGGAGACGCUUAUACCUACUCUGUCACAGCCAUUAACGGCCGCAAACCCGUCUUCAGAGCUGCUUUCACUUUUGUCUGUCUCGUGACGGCUAUUCUUAUCUCCGUGUCUCCUUCUCCGUAGAAAAACACACAUACAACCCAAUAAUUUUCUCAACAAAAUCCUCCCGUAGAAAAUCCCAUCUUUUCCUUUCGAUUUUUCAAUGGGGAAGUAUGGAUUGUUUGAUCUAGAGAAGCACUUUGCAUUCUAUGGUG
rnacentral:lncRNA from 1 species